CAUAGGUUAAUGAGGCGAACCGGGGGAACUGAAACAUCUAAGUACCCCGAGGAAAAGAAAUCAACCGAGAUUCCCCCAGUAGCGGCGAGCGAACGGGGAGGAGCCCAGAGCCUGAAUCAGUGUGUGUGUUAGUGGAAGCGUCUGGAAAGGCGCGCGAUACAGGGUGACAGCCCCGUACACAAAAAUGCACAUGCUGUGAGCUCGAUGAGUAGGGCGGGACACGUGGUAUCCUGUCUGAAUAUGGGGGGACCAUCCUCCAAGGCUAAAUACUCCUGACUGACCGAUAGUGAACCAGUACCGUGAGGGAAAGGCGAAAAGAACCCCGGCGAGGGGAGUGAAAAAGAACCUGAAACCGUGUACGUACAAGCAGUGGGAGCACAGAGCAAUCUGUGUGACUGCGUACCUUUUGUAUAAUGGGUCAGCGACUUAUAUUCUGUAGCAAGGUUAACCGAAUAGGGGAGCCGAAGGGAAACCGAGUCUUAACCGGGCGUUAAGUUGCAGGGUAUAGACCCGAAACCCGGUGAUCUAGCCAUGGGCAGGUUGAAGGUUGGGUAACACUAACUGGAGGACCGAACCGACUAAUGUUGAAAAAUUAGCGGAUGACUUGUGGCUGGGGGUGAAAGGCCAAUCAAACCGGGAGAUAGCUGGUUCUCCCCGAAAGCUAUUUAGGUAGCGCCUCGUGAAUUCAUCUCCGGGGGUAGAGCACUGUUUCGGCAAGGGGGUCAUCCCGACUUACCAACCCGAUGCAAACUGCGAAUACCGGAGAAUGUUAUCACGGGAGACACACGGCGGGUGCUAACGUCCGUCGUGAAGAGGGAAACAACCCAGACCGCCAGCUAAGGUCCCAAAGUCAUGGUUAAGUGGGAAACGAUGUGGGAAGGCCCAGACAGCCAGGAUGUUGGCUUAGAAGCAGCCAUCAUUUAAAGAAAGCGUAAUAGCUCACUGGUCGAGUCGGCCUGCGCGGAAGAUGUAACGGGGCUAAACCAUGCACCGAAGCUGCGGCAGCGACACUGUGUGUUGUUGGGUAGGGGAGCGUUCUGUAAGCCUGUGAAGGUGUGCUGUGAGGCAUGCUGGAGGUAUCAGAAGUGCGAAUGCUGACAUAAGUAACGAUAAAGCGGGUGAAAAGCCCGCUCGCCGGAAGACCAAGGGUUCCUGUCCAACGUUAAUCGGGGCAGGGUGAGUCGACCCCUAAGGCGAGGCCGAAAGGCGUAGUCGAUGGGAAACAGGUUAAUAUUCCUGUACUUGGUGUUACUGCGAAGGGGGGACGGAGAAGGCUAUGUUGGCCGGGCGACGGUUGUCCCGGUUUAAGCGUGUAGGCUGGUUUUCCAGGCAAAUCCGGAAAAUCAAGGCUGAGGCGUGAUGACGAGGCACUACGGUGCUGAAGCAACAAAUGCCCUGCUUCCAGGAAAAGCCUCUAAGCAUCAGGUAACAUCAAAUCGUACCCCAAACCGACACAGGUGGUCAGGUAGAGAAUACCAAGGCGCUUGAGAGAACUCGGGUGAAGGAACUAGGCAAAAUGGUGCCGUAACUUCGGGAGAAGGCACGCUGAUAUGUAGGUGAAGUCCCUCGCGGAUGGAGCUGAAAUCAGUCGAAGAUACCAGCUGGCUGCAACUGUUUAUUAAAAACACAGCACUGUGCAAACACGAAAGUGGACGUAUACGGUGUGACGCCUGCCCGGUGCCGGAAGGUUAAUUGAUGGGGUCAGCGCAAGCGAAGCUCUUGAUCGAAGCCCCGGUAAACGGCGGCCGUAACUAUAACGGUCCUAAGGUAGCGAAAUUCCUUGUCGGGUAAGUUCCGACCUGCACGAAUGGCGUAAUGAUGGCCAGGCUGUCUCCACCCGAGACUCAGUGAAAUUGAACUCGCUGUGAAGAUGCAGUGUACCCGCGGCAAGACGGAAAGACCCCGUGAACCUUUACUAUAGCUUGACACUGAACAUUGAGCCUUGAUGUGUAGGAUAGGUGGGAGGCUUUGAAGUGUGGACGCCAGUCUGCAUGGAGCCGACCUUGAAAUACCACCCUUUAAUGUUUGAUGUUCUAACGUGGACCCGUGAUCCGGGUUGCGGACAGUGUCUGGUGGGUAGUUUGACUGGGGCGGUCUCCUCCUAAAGAGUAACGGAGGAGCACGAAGGUUGGCUAAUCCUGGUCGGACAUCAGGAGGUUAGUGCAAUGGCAUAAGCCAGCUUGACUGCGAGCGUGACGGCGCGAGCAGGUGCGAAAGCAGGUCAUAGUGAUCCGGUGGUUCUGAAUGGAAGGGCCAUCGCUCAACGGAUAAAAGGUACUCCGGGGAUAACAGGCUGAUACCGCCCAAGAGUUCAUAUCGACGGCGGUGUUUGGCACCUCGAUGUCGGCUCAUCACAUCCUGGGGCUGAAGUAGGUCCCAAGGGUAUGGCUGUUCGCCAUUUAAAGUGGUACGCGAGCUGGGUUUAGAACGUCGUGAGACAGUUCGGUCCCUAUCUGCCGUGGGCGCUGGAGAACUGAGGGGGGCUGCUCCUAGUACGAGAGGACCGGAGUGGACGCAUCACUGGUGUUCGGGUUGUCAUGCCAAUGGCACUGCCCGGUAGCUAAAUGCGGAAGAGAUAAGUGCUGAAAGCAUCUAAGCACGAAACUUGCCCCGAGAUGAGUUCUCCCUGACCCUUUAAGGGUCCUGAAGGAACGUUGAAGACGACGACGUUGAUAGGCCGGGUGUGUAAGCGCAGCGAUGCGUUGAGCUAACCGGUACUAAUGAACCGUGAGGCUUAACCUUACAACGCCGAAGGUGUUU
rnacentral:rRNA from 1 species